UUUUAUUUCUUUCUCUUCUCUUCUUUCCUUUCCUUUUCUUUUCUUUUCUUUCUC
rnacentral:ribozyme from 14 species